rnacentral:rRNA from 1 species
GAAAGAUGAAAAGAACUUUGAAAAGAGAGUUAAACAGUACGUGAAAUUGUUGAAAGGGAAACGAUUAAAGCCAGUCGUACCGGCGGGUAAUCAGCCUUUUGGGUGUGAUUAUGUGGAACGUGAGGAGUUUAAUCGCCUUCAUGCCUGCAUAUUCGUGCACUUUGGGUGUACUUGCUCGUGUGGUAGGUUAACAUCAAUUUCGAUCAUCAUAAAAUGAUUGGGGGAAUGUAGCUUCGAUCUCGUGUUGAAGUGUUUAUA